AUUGAACGCUGGCGGCAUGCCUUACACAUGCAAGUCGAACGGUAACGGGUCCUUCGGGAUGCCGACGAGUGGCGAACGGGUGAGUAAUAUAUCGGAACGUGCCCAGUAGUGGGGGAUAACUGCUCGAAAGAGCAGCUAAUACCGCAUACGACCUGAGGGUGAAAGGGGGGGAUCGCAAGACCUCUCGCUAUUGGAGCGGCCGAUAUCAGAUUAGCUAGUUGGUGGGGUAAAGGCCUACCAAGGCAACGAUCUGUAGUUGGUCUGAGAGGACGACCAGCCAGACUGGGACUGAGAGACGGCCCAGACUCCUACGGGAGGCAGCAGUGGGGAAUUUUGGACAAUGGGCGCAAGCCUGAUCCAGCAAUGCCGCGUGCAAGAAGAAGGCCUUCGGGUUGUAAACUGCUUUUGUCAGGGAAGAAAUCUUCUGGGCUAAUACCCCGGGAGGAUGACGGUACCUGAAGAAUAAGCACCGGCUAACUACGUGCCAGCAGCCGCAGUAA
rnacentral:rRNA from 1 species